CAGAGAUUGUUGAUCAUUUGUUCCUUAUACCCAUGGUGCAGUGCUUGUUGUUUGAUCCAAUCUAGUUCUUCCUGAAUACUUUCCAUGGUUGUACAGUGGGUCAAUACUCUUUGCAAGAGCGCUCUAAACACAGCUGUUUUAUAGGUCCAUGGUGCUCCAUAAAAUUUGGUGUUUCCAGUGAGACUUUAAUCAACAUAUUCUCCAGUAGUAUUGGCAGAUGGACUGAAACUGAUCAUCUGAAUUAAAAGGAUAAUAUAAAUAACAAAGGUAUUUUUACUCUACUUAUCCAUUGUUGGGCAGAUUCAUUAUAAAGAAAUCUCUCUCUUGUAAAUAAAGGUUUAUUUAAACUCCAUGUCAUUGUUCAUAGUCAUUGAUAGUCUCCAUGUCAUUGUUCAUAGCCUCAUUGCCCAUCCUUAUUGCUACAUGCCAUUUACCACAACAAGGCCUAAUGCCUGUCAGUUUCAUCCAUUAGUCCCACCUGCUUCACAAAAUUAUUUCCAAAUUGUUUUUCAUUGCAAUUCCCACCCAAAACCAGUUAACAACUCAUACUUUAGGAAUCACUAAAAUAAAGUAUGAAUCAAGAAAAUUG
rnacentral:lncRNA from 1 species